rfam:Schistosoma rodhaini strain Burundi genome assembly, scaffold: SROB_scaffold0000289
AUCCAGAUGACGAGUCCCAAAUAGGACGAAACACGCGUCAAACUGGAU